AACGGAGUACUUCGGUACUUAGUGGCGGUCGGGUGAGUAACGCGUGAGGAUCUGCCCUCAGGAGGGGGACAACGACUGGAAACGGUCGCUAAUACCCCAUAUGCCGAGAGGUGAAAUGUUUUUUCGCCUGAGGAUGAGCUCGCGUCAGAUUAGCUAGUUGGUGGGGUAACGGCCUACCAAGGCGACGAUCUGUAGCUGGUCUGAGAGGAUGAUCAGCCACACUGGGACUGAGACACGGCCCAGACUCCUACGGGAGGCAGCAGUGGGGAAUUUUCCGCAAUGGGCGAAAGCCUGAC
rnacentral:rRNA from 1 species